rnacentral:rRNA from 1 species
AACGAACGCUGGCGGCGUGGAUAAGACAUGCAAGUCGAACGCUUGUUAUGGGGUAGCAAUAUUCUAUAGCAGGAGUGGCGGAAGGGUGCGUAACAUGUGGGUAAUCUGCCGUGAAGACAGGGAUAACUUGCUGAAAGGCGAGCUAAUACCGGAUGAGAUAACCAGGAGGCAGCUUUUGGUUAUCAAAGUUGGGGACUGUAAAAGGCCUAACGCUUCAUGAUGAGCCCGCAACCUAUCAGCUAGUUGGUGAGGUAAAGGCUCACCAAGGCUAAGACGGGUAGCUGGUCUGAGAGGACGACCAGCCACACUGGAACUGAGAGACGGUCCAGACACCUACGGGUGCAGCAGUCGAGAAUUUUUCACAAUGGGCGCAAGCCUGAUGGAGCGACGCCGCGUGGGGGUGAAGGGCUUCGGUCCGUAAACCCCUGUCAUUUGCGAACAAAGCUGCUGGCCUAAUACGCUAGUAGUUGAUAGUAGC